GUAGAAGCUGAACCACCAAAUGUUGUGAAGUUUGCUGUAUCAUCAGGUGCUGUGAAUCAAUUUUUUAAGCUUUUUAGGGAUAUGCUGUGUUUUGUCAGUGGGAGACAUGUUUUCUGGGGAUUUUCAAUCUAAGAUACAGUAAAUCAUCUCCUAUCAACUUGCUCAAGCUCAACCUCCAGACAGGUAGCAGACAAAACCUUGACCCCUGAUUAGUGAAAAGAAUACCUUGAGAUGGAAAAGACAAAGGCCCAGCCAAGAAGGUUUUGAGGAUAUGAGCAAAUAACUUCAAAACUUGCAGAGAUCCCUGAGCAAUGUUUAUUAUAUGUUUAUUCUUUUAUC